GAUGAACGCUGGCGGCGUGCCUAAUACAUGCAAGUCGAGCGAACGGACGAGAAGCUUGCUUCUCUGAUGUUAGCGGCGGACGGGUGAGUAACACGUGGAUAACCUACCUAUAAGACUGGGAUAACUUCGGGAAACCGGAUCUAAUACCGGAUAAUAUUUUGAACCGCAUGGUUCAAAAGUGAAAGACGGUCUUGCUGUCACUUAUAGAUGGAUCCGCGCUGCAUUAGCUAGUUGGUAAGGUAACGGCUUACCAAGGCAACGAUGCAUAGCCGACCUGAGAGGGUGAUCGGCCACACUGGAACUGAGACACGGUCCAGACUCCUACGGGAGGCAGCAGUAGGGAAUCUUCCGCAAUGGGCGAAAGCCUGACGGAGCAACGCCGCGUGAGUGAUGAAGGUCUUCGGAUCGUAAAACUCUGUUAUUAGGAAAGAACAGAUGUGUAAGUAACUGUGCACAUCUUGACGGUACCUAAUCAGAAAGCAACGGCUAACUACGUG
rnacentral:rRNA from 1 species